CUCUACAGUUAACAAAUUCAAGCAACAAAAAAUCAGUUUAGUUUUAAACAAAAGUUAGACGAGAUAAAUUGUUGAGAUCUAAAAUUUAAAAAUUUUGCAAAAAAAAAUUAAUUAUGGCUAAUAUUAAAUAUAUAUUCGCUUUGACCGUCAUCGCCGUAUUAGCUGGCACAACCUUUGCAAUUCAUUGCUAUCAAUGUGAAUCAAUUUCGAAUACAAAAUGUGGUGAACACUUUGAAGCGGAUGAUGUUAUGAAAUAUGAUUGUUCUCGAGUAGCACCGCCUAGAUUUUUGCAAUCAAUCUUUCCAAUACGCAAUGCCACUGGUUGCAUGAAGAAAACUUUAGAAGCCGUUAACGGUCAUCCACAGAUAAUACGUUCCUGUUAUUUCGGUGAGAUUUCCAAUACUCAAACGGGCUGCCAAGCGGAUCCAUCGUUGCCUUUUGUCAAACAGCUGUCCUGUGAUGUUUGCGCGGAUAAUCUUUGCAAUAGUUCCAAUGCUGCGGGUCCCAUGGCAUUGGCCAUUGUAGCGUUUUUCACUCUGGCACGUUUGCUAUCUUAGAUGCUUGAAUAUCCAUUAGAUUAAGAAACUUUUCACAAAAUCUUCACAACAAUCUCUUUUUUGGUUACAAUCCAAAACAGAACCUUUAUAUGAGCGGAGCGGAGGGGAGGGAUUCCAAAAAUUGGCCCAGCCGAAUCUGUCAAUGCAAUUCGAAUGUCCAAAUAUUACCCCCAUAUAUUAUCCCAUAAAACCACUUCUCAAAAUAAAGUAUUGUACGUGGAGUCGUGGAAAGGGUGGACCGAUCCAAAACAUUUUCAAUAGCUUUCGUCCUUGCAACAUAUUUCAUAAAAAUAUUGAUUGAACACAAGAAAAUAAGGCAAUGGACCGAAACGAACCAGAAAGCAAUUCUAAACCAGCAGCUAUAAUAAAAGGUGGAUCCAUCAUAAACUCUUCUGAGUGUUGCGUACAUCUGAACAAACUUGAUAUCCCUUGGUGAUCCUGAUCUUUCUGUCAUCUUUCCGGAAAUUGAG